rnacentral:rRNA from 1 species
UAUUAUUGAGUCUAAAACGUUCGUAGCCUGUUCAAUAAAUCCUUGGGUAAAUCGGUGAGCUCAACUUACCGAAUUCCGAGGCGACUGUUGAACUUGGGACCGGGAGAGGCAAGAGGUACUUCUGGGGUAGGGGUAAAAUCCUGUAAUCCUAGAAGGACCACCGGUGGCGAAGGCGUCUUGCUAGAACGGAUCCGACGGUGAGGGACGAAGCCCUGGGGCGCAAACGGGAUUAGAUACCCCGGUAGUCCAGGGUGUAAACGCUGCAGGCUUGGUGUUGGAGACCCUUCGGGGUGUUCAGUGCCGGAGAGAAGUGUAAGCCUAGCUACUUGGGAUACGUCCGCAAGUGACUA